rnacentral:rRNA from 1 species
AUUGAACGCUGGCGGCAGGCCUAACACAUGCAAGUCGAACGAGUGGCGGACGGGUGAGUAAUGUAUGGGAAACUGCCCGAUGGAGGGGGAUAACUACUGGAAACGGUAGCUAAUACCGCAUACCAUCGGAUGUGCCCAGAUGGGAUUAGCUAGUUGGUGGGGUAACGGCUCACCAAGGCGACGAUCCCUAGCUGGUCUGAGAGGAUGACCAGCCACACUGGGACUGAGACACGGCCCAGACUCCUACGGGAGGCAGCAGUGGGGAAUAUUGCACAAUGGGCGCAAGCCUGAUGCAGCCAUGCCGCGUGUAUGAAGAAGGCCUUAGGGUUGUAAAGUACUUUCAGCUGGGAGGCGUUACCCGCAGAAGAAGCACCGGCUAACUCCGUGCCAGCAGCCGCGGUAAUUG